rnacentral:rRNA from 1 species
GGCCGCGGUAUCCUAACCGUGCGAAGGUAGCGUAAUCACUUGUUCUUUAAAUGGGGACUAGUAUGAAUGGCAUCACGAGGGUUGAACUGUCUCCUUUCUCUAAUCAGUGAAACUAAUCUCCCCGUGAAGAAGCGGGAAUUAUUUUAUAAGACGAGAAGACCCUAUGGAGCUUAAAACAAAUUGACAUCUGCUUCCACCUACUUCAACUCCUGAGCAAAUAUACAAAAUAUAGCAUCAUUGAUCAAUAGUUUUAGAUUGGGGUGAUCAUGGAGUAAAAAAUAACCUCCACGACGAAAAGGAAUAUUCCCUGAGCCAAAAGCCACAACUUUAAGCACUAAAAAAUUAACGCAUCUUGACCCAAUUUUUUGAGCAACGAACCAAGUUACCCUAGGGAUAACAGCGCAAUCCACUUCAAGAGCCCCUAUCGACAAGUGGGCUUACGACCUCGAUGUUGGAUCA